GACGAACGCGCAUUGAAAGUUUUCUUCGGCGCAUGUAAAAUUUCAUUUCACGGCGGAACGUGACUUGGUGCAGGAAUUGCAUCGUAUGAGAACAACGCAGCUUUCUCUUUAGAAAAACAAUCUCUUAAAUCACGAGAUAGAAAAUCUUCGUGAUCAGUCAUGCUCUAAAUGCAGACAUCGUCGCGCAUAUAAGUUCUUCGUCUUCUCAAUUCGAAAAUUCAGUUAAUCAAUAAUUUUGAUCUUCUAUCAAUAUGAGAUUAGUGUGUACUCUUCUUAUACUCGGUCUGCUGACGAUAAUGUUUACAACUAAUUGCGACAACUCAUUCUAUCACGAGACUAUAAAAACAG